rnacentral:rRNA from 1 species
GCAGGCCUAACACAUGCAAGUCGAGCGGUAGCACAGAGAGCUUGCUCUCGGGUGACGAGCGGCGGACGGGUGAGUAAUGUCUGGGAAACUGCCUGAUGGAGGGGGAUAACUACUGGAAACGGUAGCUAAUACCGCAUAACGUCGCAAGACCAAAGUGGGGGACCUUCGGGCCUCAUGCCAUCAGAUGUGCCCAGAUGGGAUUAGCUGGUAGGUGGGGUAACGGCUCACCUAGGCGACGAUCCCUAGCUGGUCUGAGAGGAUGACCAGCCACACUGGAACUGAGACACGGUCCAGACUCCUACGGGAGGCAGCAGUGGGGAAUAUUGCACAAUGGGCGCAAGCCUGAUGCAGCCAUGCCGCGUGUGUGAAGAAGGCCUUCGGGUUGUAAAGCACUUUCAGCGGGGAGGAAGGCGGUGAGGUUAAUAACCUCGUCGAUUGACGUUACCCGCAGAAGAAGCACCGGCUAACUCCGUGCCAGCAGCCGCGGUAAUACGGAGGGUGCAAGCGUUAAUCGGAAUUACUGGGCGUAAAGCGCACGCAGGCGGUCUGUCAAGUCGGAUGUGAAAUCCCCGGGCUCAACCUGGGAACUGCAUUCGAAACUGGCAGGCUAGAGUCUUGUAGAGGGGGGUAGAAUUCCAGGUGUAGCGGUGAAAUGCGUAGAGAUCUGGAGGAAUACCGGUGGCGAAGGCGGCCCCCUGGACAAAGACUGACGCUCAGGUGCGAAAGCGUGGGGAGCAAACAGGAUUAGAUACCCUGGUAGUCCACGCUGUAAACGAUGUCGAUUUGGAGGUUGUGCCCUUGAGGCGUGGCUUCCGGAGCUAACGCGUUAAAUCGACCGCCUGGGGAGUACGGCCGCAAGGUUAAAACUCAAAUGAAUUGACGGGGGCCCGCACAAGCGGUGGAGCAUGUGGUUUAAUUCGAUGCAACGCGAAGAACCUUACCUGGUCUUGACAUCCACAGAACUUACCAGAGAUGCAUUGGUGCCUUCGGGAACUGUGAGACAGGUGCUGCAUGGCUGUCGUCAGCUCGUGUUGUGAAAUGUUGGGUUAAGUCCCGCAACGAGCGCAACCCUUAUCCUUUGUUGCCAGCGGUCCGGCCGGGAACUCAAAGGAGACUGCCAGUGAUAAACUGGAGGAAGGUGGGGAUGAC